GAUAAACGCUGGCGGCGUGCAUGAGACAUGCAAGUCGAACGGGUGACUUAGGGCUUGCUCUAAGUCGCUAGUGGCGGACGGCUGAGUAACGCGUAGGUGACCUACCCCGAAGUGGGGAAUAACUGCCCGAAAGGGUGGCUACUACCGCAUGUGAGCGGUUAUUCACUUGAUUGAUCAAAGAAGAAAUGCGCUUUGGGAGGGGCCUGCGUCCGAUUAGCUCGUUGGUGGGGUAAUGGCUCACCAGGGCGACGAUCGGUAGGUGGUCUGAGAGGACGAUCACCCAGACUGGGACUGAGACACGGCCCAGACUCCUACGGGAGGCAGCAGUCGGGAAUUUUGCUCAAUGGGGGAAACCCUGAAGCAGCAACGCCGCGUGAGGGAUGAAGGCCUUCGGGUUGUAAACCUCUUUUCUCAGGGACGAUGAUGACGGUACCUGAGGAAUAAGCCACGGCUAACUACGUGCCAGCAGCCGCAGUAAGAC
rnacentral:rRNA from 1 species